UACGUAGGGUGCAAGCGUUGUCCGGAAUUAUUGGGCGUAAAGAGCUCGUAGGCGGUUUGUCGCGUCGAAUGUGAAAACCCGGGGCUUAACCCCGAGCCUGCAGUGGAUACGGGCAGACUAGAGGUAGGUAGGGGAGAAUGGAACUCCUGGUGUAGCGGUGGAAUGCGCAGAUAUCAGGAAGAACACCGAUGGCGAAGGCAGUUCUCUGGGCCGUAACUGACGCUGAGGAGCGAAAGCGUGGGGAGCGAACAGG
rnacentral:rRNA from 1 species